rnacentral:misc_RNA from 1 species
AAGGAUCAUUUUUAGAUGCAGAUGCUACAAACUGCCAGUAUCGAUUAUGUCUGCGGUCUUGUCCAAGAGGCAAGGACCUGUAGACAUAUGUCUCUUCCGCUAUGUGGCCAAUAUAAGCUUUCAGUUGUGAGCGUGACCUUUUUGAAGCAUAUCCAUGUUGCUGACUUGAGAAGUUAUCCGGAUUCACGGAGAGAUCUUGAACCAUCAAGGUUUUUUCAGUAGGAACACUGUUGUGGUGAUUCUGUACAUUUCUUGAAGCAGGCAACGGCUUUUGGUCUACUGCAGUGCUUGGAGAUGCCUCCUUAUUUUUACUAUCAUCAAGGGGCAAUGGGCUUUGGCCGCCCUCCACUACAGAACUAGUUACUUGUAUUUCAGCUUUGCCCCCAAUAAGAGAUGGGAAAUCUAAUUUACUCACAAUAUCUUCUUUCAAGCGACUUCUGUCUAAUUGUGCCUCAGCCCACAUUUGCUUUUUAAGAGCAUUUGCAGCCUCCAAACGAUCCUCAAGUACAGCACGAAUGGUAUUUCCUUCAUUUGCAAUACCAACCAAUGCAACAAGGGAAUUAAGACGCUCCUCAACACUUAGAUGAGCAUAUUCCCCUUCUGCAAGUCCUUGAAUCCAUGAUUCACCUGACUUGCUCUCAUCAAUCUCAAUAUUUUCCUGAUCUACAUUUCUUACCCCAACGUCUUCAUGAGGAACACAUUGUUCGGUGCUACUUGGAGUCUUGGCAUCCUUUGGACCAUUCAGAUGGAUAGAUGAAGGUUCUUUAACAAGCUCAUUUUGUGCAAUUAAUGGAAUACCAUUGCAUAAAUUAUCUUUUCCACUUCCUGAACAAGUGUUUGCUUCAAUAGAAUGAUCUGCACUUCUGUUAGCACUCAAUGGAGUAGUUAAAUCAUCAACUUCGGGGUCCUCAUCAAUAUCACCUUCAGAAUCUUCAUCUCUUUCAACAUCAUCAACAUCUUCUCCACCUGAAAACCCAUUUUCAAAUAUCCGAAUUUUCUUUCUCGCA